AUCCAGCUGACGAGUCAUAAGUCGGACGAAAUGCACAUCCUGGAU
rnacentral:hammerhead_ribozyme from 1 species